AAACACAUCCGCAUCCACACAUCCUCUGUAGAGUGCGGAUGCGGAUGCGGAUGCGGAUGUAUAUUUCACCACAAAUGCGGAUGCGGAGGCGGAGGCGGAUGUUCAGUUUAUCACAACUACGGAUGCGGAUGCGGAUGCGGAUGUGAAAAAAUAUGCGGAUGUUCCGCGGAUGCGGAUGCGGAUGCGGAUAUCCGAUACAUCUCUAGUAUACACCAACAACCAAGCCUCAGAACAAACGAAAACAACAGUACACAAGUUUUGGACAAUAAGAGAAAAAAGAAUGAAAGAAAGAGGAAAACAAUAGACCCAGACAGUAGAUACAUCAGGGAGUGCCGUUACAAAGGCAAAACUCCCGACCGACUACUACUACUACUACUACUACUACUCUAUUCUUUCGAAACCCACGAGAAGUUAAUCAAGACAAGGAGAGGGUGUUCCCCGGCUGCCUGGGACGUGACGGGAGAGCCAAAGAGGAUAGCCGGCGUGUGGGAUGGGUUGAGGGUCCAACAUUGCCUCUUUCGUGUUCAAGCCGCCUGGCGCUCUCGCCUCAUCAAUGGGAAGGACUACUGGCCAUGAGUGUAGCGUUGAGGAAGACUUGCUGCCCCCUCGCCCUCAAGGCUGGCCUGCAGCCUGAGUGGCCAGGAGCAGCGGAGCAGACUGUCACUGGUGUGAGGACCAAGGCCUGAUGAGAAGGACCACCACCACCGUGCUGCUGCCUUCUCCAGCCAUAAAGGAAAGGGAAAGGUUGAGUGUCAGGACUGUAGGACAAUUUGAUAGGGGAGAGGAAGUUCAUCAGACACAGCCUUGCACACACUGGUUCAGGAAACCAUGAGAGCCAGGAGUGUGAGAAAAGCCUCCCUGGGAAGGGUGACUUUGACUAAGACACUCACUCCUUCUGCUGAAAGAAAUCAUGAUUGUGCAGUUUGUGGGGAAAGUUUCAGCAAGAAGGGUGAACUCAAGACACAUAGCCUUUCACACACUGCUGAAAAAAAUUAUGAAUGUGAAGUUUGUGGGAAAAGAUUAAAUCAGAAGAGUACCCUCAACAGACACAUCCUUACACACACUGGUGAAAGAAAUCAUGAAUGUGAAGUUUGUGGGAAAAGAUUUAAUCAGAAGAGUACCCUCAACACACACAUCCUUACACACACUGGUGAAAGAAAUUAUGAAUGUGAAGUUUGUGGGAAAAGAUUUAAUCUGAAGAGUACCCUCAACAGACACAUCCUUAUACACACUGGUGAAAGAAAUUAUGAAUGUGAAGUUUGUGGGAAAAGAUUUAAUCAGAAGAGUUACCUCAACACACACAUCCUUACACACACUAGUGAGAGAAAUCAUGAAUGUGAAGUUUGUGGGAAAAGAUUUAAUCGGAAGAGUUACCUCAACACACACAUCCUUACACACACUGGUGAGAGAAAUCAUGACUGUGAAGUUUGUGGGAAAAGAUUUAAUCGGAAGAGUCACCUCAACACACACAUCCUUACACACACUGGUGAGAGAAAUCAUGAAUGUGAAGUUUGUGGGAAAAGAUUUAAUCAGAAGAGUCACCUCAACAGACACAUCCUUACACACACUGGUGAGAGAAAUCAUGAAUGUGAAGUUUGUGGGAAAAGAUUUAAUCAGAAGAGUACCCGCAACAGACACAUCCUUACACACACUGGUGAGAGAAAUCAUGAAUGUGAAGUUUGUGGGAAAAGAUUUAAUCGGAAGAAUUACCUCAACACACACAUCCUUACACACACUGGUGAGAGAAAUCAUGAAUGUGAAGUUUGUGGGAAAAGAUUUAAUCUGAAGAGUACCCUCAACAGACACAUCAUUACACACACUGGUGAGAGAAAUCAUGAAUGUGAAGUUUGUGGGAAAAGAUUUAAUCGGAAGAGUUACCUCAACACACACAUCCUUACACACACUGGUGAGAGAAAUCAUGAAUGUGAAGUCUGUGGGAAAAAAUUCUCUUUAAAGUCAUACCUGAAGAGACAUAGCAUAAGACACACUGGUCACAAAGGGUUCAAAUGCGAUGCUUGUGGAAAGCGUUUCAUGACCAGAGGUGAGAUUACCAGACAUGUGAAGAUUCACCUCUGAGGUGUUGUGUUGUGCUGCUGUAUGUGGGAGAGAGUAGGCAGUGCAGGGCAGCAUUGACUAGCAUGAAGGACAGAAAAUAUAACCCAGAUGGGCAAUUAAGGCAUUUUGUGUGUGUGUGUGUGUGUGUGUGUGUGUGUGUGUGUGUGUGUGUGUGUGUGUGUGUGUGUGUGUGUGUGUGUAUUUACCUAUUUGUAUUCACAUGUUUGUAGUUUACCGGGCCCGGUCUAAGCUCUAAUAGUCCCGUCUCCAUAUCUACAUUCCUUUGCCUUUCCAUCAUUUGUUGGGCACUGUACGCCUCCACCACCUCUUCCCGCAAGCUGUUCCAUGUAUUUAUGAGAUAGCCUGCCCCCCUUGUAUGUCAGUAAAUGUGAUGAAUGAGGUAACCUACACCCCUUGUAUGUCAGUAAAUGUGAUGAAUGAGGUAACUUGCACCCCUUGUAUGUCAGUAAAUGUGAUAAAUGAGAUAGCCUGCCCCCCUUGUAUGUCAGUAAAUGUGAUGAAUGAGGUAACCUACACCCCUUGUAUGUCAGUAAAUGUGAUGAAUGAGGUAACCUACACCCCUUGUAUGUCAGUAAAUGUGAUAAAUGAGAUAACCUACACCCCUUGUAUGUCAGUAAAUGUGAUAAAUGAGAUAACCUACACCCCUUGUAUGUCAGUAAAUGUGAUAAAUGAGGUACCCUACACCCUUGUAUAUCAGUAAAUGUGAUUAAUGAGAUAACCUACACCCCUUGUAUGUCGGUAAAUAUACUCCCAUGUCCUUCUCUGCCUCUGUGGUGGAUGGUGGAGUGUUUCUCAUGUGGUAUUGGUGUGCUGGAUAUCCCCUCCCAAGGUGCAGGACUUUACAUUUCUCUUCAUUGAAUUGUAGCAGACACUUUUUGUUCCAUCCCUGUAGCUUAGUGAGUUCUGACUGCAGGAAAUCCAUAGUCAAGGUGUUAAUUGACUCUCUAAGUGAGAAAAAUGAGAAAAAAUCACCCCUCACACAAAUGAUUUCAAAAUAUAUAUCAAAGCAUUUGUGAUCAGAUUAUGUAUCAUCUAUUUUGGGGGUUUAUAUCAUGGCACAAAUUUGGCCCGUCGCUGCUACACGUUAAAGCCACAAAUUUGGCCCGUCACUGCUACUGGGUUAAUCAAGGCCAGCCCUUCCUAUGUGCUCACUACAAUCAUUGCGCAGGGCCUCUCAUCACUGGGGGGCCUAAGGAUGUGCAUAAAUGAAAAGAGAAAGAAAAUCAGGACGGUGCUUUCAUUAUUCCCCCAUGAUAAAAAGCUCUAUAAACAGCAUUAAACAAAUUUAAGAAAAAACAAAUAUAUUUAUUUAUUUUACAUUGCUUAGGACAGGGAUCUAAUUUGUAGAGCGAGUACAUAGGGAAAAAAAGUUAACAUAAGGCUAAAUAUGUUUUCAUAGGAGAUGUCUAAGUGGGGACAUGAUAGAGCUAUAUAAAAUGUUUUCAGAUUGCGAUAACUUAGAUGUGGAUACUUUCUUUACACUAGAGGAGGGCAACUAUAGAUGGCCUGAGUCCCGCAGCAAAGUGUGCCAGAUGUGUGACAGGGGUGUGGACGAGACAUGUUGUGCUGGAAUGUAAGAAGUAUGACAGGGAGAGAACGAAGAUGAUGCAGGUGUUUCUGAGUGAGAUGGGGCGUGGAGUGAACGGUAAGGGUGUGGACGAGACAUGUGGUGCUGGAAUGUAAGAAGUAUGACAGGGAGAGAACGGAGAUGAUGCAGGUGUUUCUGAGUGAGAUGGGGCGUGGAGUGAACGGUAAGGGAGUGGGCGAGACAUGUGGUGCUGGAAUGUAAGAAGUAUGACAGGGAGAGAACGAAGAUGAUGCAGGUGUUUCUGAGUGAGAUGGGACAUGGAGUGAAUGGGAGAACGGUAAGGGAGUGGAUGGUGCUGUUCAGUGGAGAGACGAGUGGACGAGUGAUUGAGGCAGUGAAAGAGUUCCUGGAGAGCAUGUGGCGUGCAAGAGGUCCAGUCCAGUCCAGUCCAUUAGUAGGCGUGGGAUUGCCUUUGUAACGGCUCCCUCCAGGGGCGGAUACAGAGGGGGGCCCAGGGGGCCCAGGCCCCCCCAAAAUCUCGAGUGUAUGCGGAUAGUGGGUACAUAACUGACUCGCCUAUAAUGUGCUGCAACUAUAAUACGGAAUGUGUCGUCGGCUGUAGGCAUAUGCAGGCGCGUAUACGGGGGUGGGGAGCCAGAUGGCCCGGGACCCCCGAAAAAAAAUAUUAGGAUAACUAAAAUAUUUGAAAUACCCAUAACCUGUCAAGUCUUACGUUUUUUGUGUGUCUUACGUAAUUUCUGUGAUUUUCAAGUCAUACGGCGUAAGUUGAAAAUCUUACAUUUUUUCUCCGCUUGCGAUGUUUUUUUAAUAUGUUUGUUUUAAACAAUUUGAAAUAUAUCGUACGCGCCAUAUUUAAAUUCAUGUGAGCGUGCUGAGUAACGGCUGGUAUGAUUCGGACACUUUUUAGAAAAAUAUUUUUAGAAAAAGAAGUUUAAGAAGUAGUGUAAUUUUGUUGAUCUCAAAAUGUUCCUCUAUCAUUGGGCUCUUUAGGUUACUAAUAUGACACUCGUAGCUAUUUCCAGAUUUCAGAUGUAGGUGAUGAAAGACAAGUUUCUAAAUCGUCCGAACCAUCCCCACCCGUGGUGAUGGUUCGGCCAGGGAGGUGGGAUGGUACGGACACUCAUAAUACUCGCCAUAAUAUUAAUAUAACUUAAGUUUGAUUGGCUAAUAAACAAGAUUAUAUAUACUACAAGACAUUUUUUUAAGGACAAAAGUAUCCUCUCAAUACUUAGAGGGGAAAAAAUAAAAGGAGAACUACAAGAAAUAUCUCAAAAAUUUUGGUAUUAUGUCUUCCUUCUCUUCUCACAAGUCGAGUCGAGAUGAAGAAGACGGCCGCCAGUUUUUCCUCCUCACAGCUGCUGUCCACUUCCUCCGCUCUUCUGGAUUCGCUGGAAAUCUAUAAAAUGACACAGCAUCUCUCCCGUGUCAGUUAGAACAUCCAACCGCACAGCAUACGUAUCCCAUGACGAACACAGAGCACUUGUUUACCCGCCACCAAGGUUUGCUUUGAUAAGUGACUACCACCACUGACCACCAAGAUGGCCGUGCAGGCCCGCGCUACCCCCGCACCCCCACUGAUGACGUCAGCUGCAAAACCUCUAUAGCUUCCUUGGGCUUUACUAUGCGGAGGUGGACUGGAUGCUCAUGCAUGCAAGAUUUAGAUUUUUUCGGUGUCUGAUGUAAUUUUUCACUCUUCUACAGGGCCAGGGCACAACGGGCAUGUGCCCAGGGCUCCGCGCUAUUAUGGGGCCCGCACUCAUCUAACAAUCUAUAUACUCGUACAGGGCCGUAGUACGCCGUACCCAGGGGGGGGUGGAGGGGCCGGGGGUGUCGGACGACCCCCCAAUCUGCAAAAAUGUCCACUUUCUGAGAGUCAAAUGGAAAACUGGUACUGGGAUUGAGGUAAAACAUUUGCAAAGAUUGGCUGAUCUAAAGAAAUAUAUUUACAAAUUCCCAAGUAUUCAACUAGUUCCUCACUAAGCAAAGAGUAGUCGGCGGUUUUUUUCGCUGAAUUUGCUUAUCACUCUCGACUGAAAUGGGGAUAUCAUAGUGGACACAAAGGAGGGCAAGUCCGUUCAGGCGAUCUUGGCCGACGGUACUCCUCAGAUAGGUUUUCAGCCUUUUCAGUGGUGAGAAAGACCUCUCGGCUUCCGCGUUAGAGACUGGAAGCGUCAACAGAGUCCUCAAGAGAAUGGCGAGAUUGGGGAACAUGCUGAUGCUGGCGUGUGCCUGGGCUUCGUUGAUAGUUUGGAAGACCGGAACAGAUAAUGCCCAGCGCCUUCACGAGUGUCAGGGAUGCGAUGACGAGCUCGUAGAGCUUCGCUGCUUGUAGCACAGCCGCAACAUCCGUUUCGAGGCCUUUUAGGAGUUGCUUGAGCUGAAGUGCGACAGGCACUGUGUCGUCGCCAAACCGACUCUUCAACUCAGCCAAGACGUGGUCCACGAACGGAAUGUACACCGCCCAGCAUUCUCGCACGGGACAUUUGAUAGCUGGGUCUGUCGUCCACAGAGUCGUGGCACGGAGAUGGUGUCAUGCGAUGACCCCACCUCGACCAAAAACUCUUCCGCUUUCAUGAACACGUCGUGGAUAUGAUUCUCCGCAUCUGCUCUGAGCUUGGCAAAAGUGGUAUCGAUGCCACGAAUCGUGGCAUAGGCUGACACCAGGUCGUCAUCUUUUCUCUGAAGAGUUCGGCUCGGCUCGAGAGUAUGCACCAAUAUACACUCCACUACAACCAGUCCAACGAGAAAGGGGGGAACACGUAUGGCGAUGAGAAGGAGCCCAGCGGUGGCGUCAAGUUCUUCUUCGAGAAAAACAGCGAUGACAGGCAUUCAACGAAAACCAGCACUGCGCAUGCCUCUCAAUCCACCUGGUGGGGCACAGGGGAACAAACUUUUCGCGCUUGGCCGAGGCAAGCUUGACAACCUCUGUGAUGCGGAGAGAGCUUAUAUUCGAAGAAUGAACGAAGUUGUACACGUCGGUCAGUGUUUGAAGAGCGAUCUUCACUUCCUUGACGUCACACGCCUUCGUCAGUACUAGAUUCUGCCGGUGGUUAAAGCAGUGGAUUGGCUUGGCCAGGGUUUACUUCUUCAUGAGUACUGCGGCACACUCUUUGAAUUUUCCCAUCAUCCCCUGCACUUGGCCAUGUCCAAUCCGAGGUCUUCAACGGUGCGCAAAACGAGCCCGACUAAACCUUUACCGGUGAGGUCAUGGGUGUGCACAAAGGCAAGGAAGUCUGCCCUUAUUUCCUCUUCGAAGUGCCGAAUGAUGAUAGUGGCCUGCACUAAAAUUUACUUUCUGCUUGCAUGUGAGGAAUGAGGUCACAAAGUUUUUUCCUAGGCCUUUAAAUCUUGCUCUGUAAUAUUCAAUAUACGAUUCCGUAACUUAAAUACUGAAAAUAAAUAAAGAAAAUCCCGAGUUCUCCAGA